rnacentral:rRNA from 1 species
UACGAAGGGGGUUAGCGUUGUUCGGAAUCACUGGGCGUAAAGCGCACGUAGGCGGAUUGUUAAGUCAGGGGUGAAAUCCCGGAGCUCAACUCCGGAACUGCCCUUGAUACUGGCGAUCUAGAGUCCGGGAGAGGUGAGUGGAACUGCGAGUGUAGAGGUGAAAUUCGUAGAUAUUCGCAAGAACACCAGUGGCGAAGGCGGCUCACUGGCCCGGAACUGACGCUGAGGUGCGAAAGCGUGGGGAGCAAACAGG